GGCAUCGUGGCCGAGUGGCUAGGCAGAGGUCUGCAAAACCUCGUACAGCGGUUCGAGUCCGCUCGAUGCCUCAA
rnacentral:tRNA from 1 species